CAUCCUGGGGCUGAAGCCGGUCCCAAGGGUAUGGCUGUUCGCCAUUUAAAGUGGUACGCGAGCUGGGUUUAGAACGUCGUGAGACAGUUCGGUCCCUAUCUGCCGUGGACGUUUGAGAUUUGAGAGGGGCUGCUCCUAGUACGAGAGGACCGGAGUGGACGAACCUCUGGUGUUCCGGUUGUCACGCCAGUGGCAUUGCCGGGUAGCUAUGUUCGGAAAAGAUAACCGCUGAAAGCAUCUAAGCGGGAAACUUGCCUCAAGAUGAGAUCUCACUGGGAACUUGAUUCCCCUGAAGGGCUGUCGAAGACUACGACGUUGAUAGGCUGGGUGUGUAAGCGUUGUGAGGCGUUGAGCUAACCAGUACUAAUUGCCCGUGAGGCUUGACCAUAUAACACCCAAACA
rnacentral:rRNA from 1 species